UGGGGAAUUGUACAAUGGGCGCAAGCCUGAUGCAGCCAUGCCGCGUGUGUGAAGAGGCCUUCGGGUUGUAAAGCACUUUCAGCGAGGAGGAAGGUGGUGAGCUUAAUACGCUCAUCAAUUGACGUUACUCGCAGAAGAAGCACCGGCUAACUCCGUGCCAGCAGCCGCGGUAAUACGGAGGGUGCAAGCGUUAAUCGGAAUUACUGGGCGUAAAGCGCACGCAGGCGGUUUGUUAAGUCAGAUGUGAAAUCCCCGGGCUCAACCUGGGAACUGCAUUUGAAACUGGCAAGCUAGAGUCUCGUAGAGGGGGGUAGAAUUUCCAGGUGUAGCGGUGAAAUGCGUAGAGAUCUGGAGGAAUACCGGUGGCGAAGGCGGCCCCCUGGACGAAGACUGACGCUCAGGUGCGAAAGCGUGGGGAGCAAACAGAUUAGAUACCCUGGUAGUCCACGCUGUAAAC
rnacentral:rRNA from 1 species